rnacentral:lncRNA from 1 species
UUAGGCCGUUAGUUUUCUCGUUUGAAUUGUUUUACAUUGUCAUUUCGGGGACUUUUAUAUUUAGGUAUGCGGUAUGGGCUUGGCUAAUUGCCGAAGUACGGUAACCUAUAGUUGUUAAAUUCUGUGUCAUUUUGGUCUUUUAUGGAGAGUUGUCUCAUUAGCAAUCAUACCACUUCUGAUUUUUUUAUAUGACUUAUCUUGCAGAUUCAAGUUUUACUGCUGAAAUUAAGUAGAUGAUCAUCCACUACCGGUUGAUUCCCUGAUUCCAAAAAUAUGUGGUUCCUAUGUAAUUCCAUUUAAAAUAAUGAAGAUUAGGGGUAUAAUCGGCUACGUCCGAUGUACAAAAUACAAAAAUUGGUGUCAAAUGAUAUAUUUCAUUACAUUUAAGCAUUUAAUCA